UCAGUUGAGAGAAGAAAAAGUAUGUGUGAGGAUAGGUCUGUGGUACUCUACCCUUUCUCUCCAACCCAAUAACGUAUUCUUUCUUUUGAGUCUAUGUUGAGAACGAUGACCUUUGGAGUGAUGAACAAGUGAAGGUGGUGGCAUCAGGCCUCUCUAUGUCUAACGUGGCAACUUCUCUUGGCUCUUUCCCAAAUCUAAUCCAGCCCAACAUGGGCCCUUCAUCUAAAGUUCUCGUUAGAAGAUGGCAGAAUCAGCUAAUGAAGGAGUGGUAACAACUAUUCUUGCUGUAUUUGAAAAGGCCAUGAUGUGCCACCAAUGGGAACCAUCUGAAAGGCUGCUGGAAUAAUGUCAUUGUGAAAUGUAGAGUACAGCAUAUGCAGGUGUUAUAACGUCUUGCUUUUGUUUGCUGAAACCCAGCUUGGAUGGAAUCUAGUCAGAAACGUGAGCAACUCAGAACUCGCAUGUGAUGGGAAUUAAAAUAAAUUUCGAUAUUUCAAGAUUCUGCUUUUAAUAAACCAAAGGAAAUGGCAAAAAGGAAAAAAAAAGAUACACAGACUGUCAAAGUACAACUAUCAAUCAAAAAGCUUUGUUGCGCUGCCUCUCUGCACAUGGCGCUGUAUGCCAGGCACUCUCCCUGCAAUCGAGUGAAAUGGGGAAUCUUUGCCCCGAGGGAAAUGACAAUGGAAGAUCAAGCUGAUGGGGACAGACAAGAAGGGAAGCAUACUCAUUUCUAGUCUCACUAUUUUUAGCACCCUGUCCUCCUCAUCCCCAUUCCCAGAUGCUCAGUUGCCAGGAAUCUUCCAUUGAGGCAUUCCAUAUACUUUAUUGUACCUUCCUGAUACAGACCUUUAUGGGCUCACUCAGUCAAAAAUGACCUGUCCUGUGUCCCACUGGUAGGCUCUCCAAAAUGGCAUGUGCUUGCCUAGGCAAAAUGUCAGCUCUUCUAAGGCAGCCACCAUGCCUCUCUUGUUUAUCCCACAAAACCUGGCACAGUGGGUCUAAUAAAUGAUUGUUGAAUAACUGAA